rnacentral:rRNA from 1 species
UUAAGCGACUAAGCGUACACGGUGGAUGCCCUGGCAGUCAGAGGCGAUGAAGGGCGUGCUAAUCUGCGAUAAGCGCCGGUAAGGUGAUAUGAACCGUUAUAACCGGCGAUACCCGAAUGGGGAAACCCAGUGUGACUCGUCACACUAUCAUUAACUGAAUCCAUAGGUUAAUGAGGCGAACCGGGGGAACUGAAACAUCUAAGUACCCCGAGGAAAAGAAAUCAACCGAGAUUCCCCCAGUAGCGGCGAGCGAACGGGGAGGAGCCCAGAGCCUGAAUCAGCAUGUGUGUUAGUGGAAGCGUCUGGAAAGGCGCGCGAUACAGGGUGACAGCCCCGUACACAAAAGCGCAUGUGCUGUGAGCUCGAUGAGUAGGGCGGGACACGUGGUAUCCUGUCUGAAUAUGGGGGGACCAUCCUCCAAGGCUAAAUACUCCUGACUGACCGAUAGUGAACCAGUACCGUGAGGGAAAGGCGAAAAGAACCCCGGCGAGGGGAGUGAAAAAGAACCUGAAACCGUGUACGUACAAGCAGUGGGAGCACAGGUUUACCUGUGUGACUGCGUACCUUUUGUAUAAUGGGUCAGCGACUUAUAUUCUGUAGCAAGGUUAACCGAAUAGGGGAGCCGGAGGGAAACCGAGUCUUAAUUGGGCGUUAAGUUGCAGGGUAUAGACCCGAAACCCGGUGAUCUAGCCAUGGGCAGGUUGAAGGUUGGGUAACACUAACUGGAGGACCGAACCGACUAAUGUUGAAAAAUUAGCGGAUGACCUGUGGCUGGGGGUGAAAGGCCAAUCAAACCGGGAGAUAGCUGGUUCUCCCCGAAAGCUAUUUAGGUAGCGCCUCGUGAAUUCAUCUCCGGGGGUAGAGCACUGUUUCGGCUAGGGGGCCAUCCCGGCUUACCAACCCGAUGCAAACUGCGAAUACCGGAGAAUGUUAUCACGGGAGACACACGGCGGGUGCUAACGUCCGUCGUGAAGAGGGAAACAACCCAGACCGCCAGCUAAGGUCCCAAAGUCAUGGUUAAGUGGGAAACGAUGUGGGAAGGCCCAGACAGCCAGGAUGUUGGCUUAGAAGCAGCCAUCAUUUAAAGAAAGCGUAAUAGCUCACUGGUCGAGUCGGCCUGCGCGGAAGAUGUAACGGGGCUAAACCAUGCACCGAAGCUGCGGCAGCGACGCUUAUGCGUUGUUGGGUAGGGGAGCGUUCUGUAAGCCUGUGAAGGUGGCCUGUGAGGGUUGCUGGAGGUAUCAGAAGUGCGAAUGCUGACAUAAGUAACGAUAAAGCGGGUGAAAAGCCCGCUCGCCGGAAGACCAAGGGUUCCUGUCCAACGUUAAUCGGGGCAGGGUGAGUCGACCCCUAAGGCGAGGCCGAAAGGCGUAGUCGAUGGGAAACGGGUUAAUAUUCCCGUACUUGGUGUUACUGCGAAGGGGGGACGGAGAAGGCUAUGUUGGCCGGGCGACGGUUGUCCCGGUUUAAGCGUGUAGGUGUGUGUUCCAGGUAAAUCCGGUUCACUUUAACACUGAGGCGUGAUGACGAGGCACUACGGUGCUGAAGCAACAAAUGCCCUGCUUCCAGGAAAAGCCUCUAAGCAUCAGGUAACAUCAAAUCGUACCCCAAACCGACACAGGUGGUCAGGUAGAGAAUACCAAGGCGCUUGAGAGAACUCGGGUGAAGGAACUAGGCAAAAUGGUGCCGUAACUUCGGGAGAAGGCACGCUGANNNGUAGGUGAAGUGAUUUACUCAUGGAGCUGAAGUCAGUCGAAGAUACCAGCUGGCUGCAACUGUUUAUUAAAAACACAGCACUGUGCAAACACGAAAGUGGACGUAUACGGUGUGACGCCUGCCCGGUGCCGGAAGGUUAAUUGAUGGGGUCAGCGCAAGCGAAGCUCCUGAUCGAAGCCCCGGUAAACGGCGGCCGUAACUAUAACGGUCCUAAGGUAGCGAAAUUCCUUGUCGGGUAAGUUCCGACCUGCACGAAUGGCGUAAUGAUGGCCAGGCUGUCUCCACCCGAGACUCAGUGAAAUUGAACUCGCUGUGAAGAUGCAGUGUACCCGCGGCAAGACGGAAAGACCCCGUGAACCUUUACUAUAGCUUGACACUGAACAUUGAGCCUUGAUGUGUAGGAUAGGUGGGAGGCUUUGAAGCGUGGACGCCAGUCUGCGUGGAGCCGACCUUGAAAUACCACCCUUUAAUGUUUGAUGUUCUAACGUGGACCCGUAAUCCGGGUUGCGGACAGUGUCUGGUGGGUAGUUUGACUGGGGCGGUCUCCUCCUAAAGAGUAACGGAGGAGCACGAAGGUUGGCUAAUCCUGGUCGGACAUCAGGAGGUUAGUGCAAUGGCAUAAGCCAGCUUGACUGCGAGCGUGACGGCGCGAGCAGGUGCGAAAGCAGGUCAUAGUGAUCCGGUGGUUCUGAAUGGAAGGGCCAUCGCUCAACGGAUAAAAGGUACUCCGGGGAUAACAGGCUGAUACCGCCCAAGAGUUCAUAUCGACGGCGGUGUUUGGCACCUCGAUGUCGGCUCAUCACAUCCUGGGGCUGAAGUAGGUCCCAAGGGUAUGGCUGUUCGCCAUUUAAAGUGGUACGCGAGCUGGGUUUAGAACGUCGUGAGACAGUUCGGUCCCUAUCUGCCGUGGGCGCUGGAGAACUGAGGGGGGCUGCUCCUAGUACGAGAGGACCGGAGUGGACGCAUCACUGGUGUUCGGGUUGUCAUGCCAAUGGCACUGCCCGGUAGCUAAAUGCGGAAGAGAUAAGUGCUGAAAGCAUCUAAGNGUCUCCUGAAGGAACGUUGAAGACGACGACGUUGAUAGGCCGGGUGUGUAAGCGCAGCGAUGCGUUGAGCUAACCGGUACUAAUGAACCGUGAGGCUUAACCUU